CAUGGCUCAGUGGAAAGAGCACUGGCUUGGGAGUCAGAGGUUGUGGGUUUUAAUCCCAGCUG
rnacentral:tRNA from 1 species